rnacentral:rRNA from 1 species
UGGGGAAUUGUUCGCAAUGGGCGCAAGCCUGACGACGCAACGCCGCGUGGAGGAUGAAGACCUUCGGGUCGUAAACUCCUUUCGAUCGAGACGAAUGGCCCCUGGGCUAAUCACCAGGGGAAUGACGGUACCGAGAGAAGAAGCCCCGGCUAACUCCGUGCCAGCAGCCGCGGUAAUACGGGGGGGGCAAGCGUUGUUCGGAAUUACUGGGCGUAAAGGGCUCGUAGGCGGCCAACUAAGUCAGACGUGAAAUCCCUCGGCUUAACCGGGGAACUGCGUCUGAUACUGGAUGGCUUGAAUCCGGGAGAGGGAUGCGGAAUUCCAGGUGUAGCGGUGAAAUGCGUAGAUAUCUGGAGGAACACCGGUGGCGAAGGCGGCAUCCUGGACCGGCAUUGACGCUGAGGAGCGAAAGCCAGGGGAGCAAACG